CGGAAUUACUGGGCGUAAAGAGUGUGUAGGUGGUGCUCUAAGUUCGGUGUGAAAUCUCCCGGCUUAACUGGGAGGGUGCGCCGAAAACUGGAGUGCUCGAGCGUGGGAGAGGAAAGCGGAAUUCCUGGUGUAGCGGUGAAAUGCGUAGAUAUCAGGAGGAACACCAGCGGUGUAGACGGCUUUCUGGACCAUUGCUGACGCUGAGACACGAAAGCGUGGGUAGCAAACAGG
rnacentral:rRNA from 1 species